rnacentral:rRNA from 1 species
AUUGAACGCUGGCGGCAGGCCUAACACAUGCCAGUCGAGCGGAUGAAGGGAGCUUGCGCCUGGAUUCAGCGGCGGACGGGUGAGUGAUGCCCAGGAAUCUGCCUGGUAGUGGGGGAUAACGUCCGGAAGCGGGCGCUGAUACCGCAUACGUCCUGAGGGUGAAAGGGGGGGAUCUUCGGACCUCACGCUAUCAGAUGAGCCUAGGGCGGAUUAGCGAGUUGGUGGGGUAAAGGGCUACCAAGGCGACGAUCCGUAACUGGUCUGAGAGGGUGAGCAGUCACACUGGAACUGAGACACGGUCCAGACUCCUACGGGAGGCAGCAGUGGGGAAUAUUGGGCAAUGGGCGAAAGCCUGAUGCAGCAAUGCCGCGUGUGUGAAGAAGGUCUUCGGAUUGUAAAACCCUUUUAGUUGGGAAGAAAGGCAGUAAGUUUAAACCUUGCCGUUUUGACGGUACCCAAAAAAUAAGCCACGGCUAACUUCGUG